AAGAACCGGAUGCCUUAAUUGGGCUAGUCCGGGUCUGUGAGGGAUGGGGGCGGUAACGUCCCCGUCUACUCGGAA
rnacentral:ncRNA from 3 species